rnacentral:rRNA from 1 species
UACGGAGGGGGCUAGCGUUGUUCGGAAUUACUGGGCGUAAAGCGCGCGUAGGCGGCUUUGUAAGUUAGAGGUGAAAGCCCGGGGCUCAACCCCGGAACUGCCUUUAAGACUGCAUCGCUUGAAUCCAGGAGAGGUGAGUGGAAUUCCGAGUGUAGAGGUGAAAUUCGUAGAUAUUCGGAGGAACACCAGUGGCGAAGGCGGCUCGCUGGCUCGAUACUGACGCUGAGGUGCGAAAGCUAGGGGAGCGAACGGG